GGCCCUGGGGGGCAGGCUACACAUGCAAGUCGAGCGGUAACAGAUCCAGCUUGCUGGAUGCUGACGAGCGGCGGACGGGUGAGUAAUGCAUAGGAAUCUGCCCGAUAGUGGGGGAUAACCUGGGGAAACCCAGGCUAAUACCGCAUACGUCCUACGGGAGAAAGGGGGCUCCGGCUCCCGCUAUGGGAUGAGCCUAUGUCGGAUUAGCUAGUUGGUGAGGUAACGGCUCACCAAGGCGACGAUCCGUAGCUGGUCUGAGAGGAUGAUCAGCCACAUCGGGACUGAGACACGGCCCGAACUCCUACGGGAGGCAGCAGUGGGGAAUAUUGGACAAUGGGGGAAACCCUGAUCCAGCCAUGCCGCGUGUGUGAAGAAGGCCCUCGGGUUGUAAAGCACUUUCAGCGAGGAAGAACGCCUAGCGGUUAAUACCCGCUAGGAAAGACAUCACUCGCAGAAGAAGCACCGGCUAACUCCGUGCCAGCAGCCGCGGUAAUACGGAGGGUGCAAGCGUUAAUCGGAAUUACUGGGCGUAAAGCGCGCGUAGGUGGCUUGAUAAGCCGGUUGUGAAAGCCCCGGGCUCAACCUGGGAACGGCAUCCGGAACUGUCAAGCUAGAGUGCAGGAGAGGAAGGUAGAAUUCCCGGUGUAGCGGUGAAAUGCGUAGAGAUCGGGAGGAAUACCAGUGGCGAAGGCGGCCUUCUGGACUGACACUGACACUGAGGUGCGAAAGCGUGGGUAGCAAACAGGAUUAGAUACCCACCGUAGUCC
rnacentral:rRNA from 1 species